GGCAAUCUUGACCCAGGGCUUGGCCAGGCAGACAUGGAACCUGACAUUACUGUGAGCCUUCUGCUGGAGAGACUCCAACAGGAGGAGGAGGCAAGAGUAACUGUUUACUCCAGCCUGGAGAAAGUCUUUCAGUGGGAUGCACAGAGCCUGGAUAGGAGCCUUGUCAGGAGGAUCAUGCACUUGGCCUCCAAAGAUGUGAGGGAGACCCAGGUGAGUGAGCUCUGCCCAGCUUCUCCCCACAAGACCUUAGUCUAUGCCCAAUUUGUUUGGUCCAAUGUAGCUUAAGCCUAUGGUGUAUCUCCUGCAUGGACCCUGGUCAGAGGCUGCAGGCUUGCUCAAGACGGAUCUCCUCCAGAUGUUUCUGGAGAGCAUGGACAGGAUUCAACCCAGUGUUGAGCUCCUCU